CUACUGAACAUUUACCAGGUCACCUUUCAGCAGGACAGUUUACCAGAAUCUGGUGUGGUCAGAGUGAAAACAUGAAACCAGUGAUUCUUGCAGUUUUGGUUUUGGUGCUUGUCAGCCAGAAUGAUGCCUUGAGAUGUCACUGUGGAGGUAAUAUAAGGUGUCCAGAACCUAUAGUUAAGUGCCACUCUGCUGACGAUGGCUGUGCCUAUAUUGACUACUUCAGUCCACCUAGAGGUUUCUUUAAGGGCUGCUUUAAUUUUUCUGAAUGCAAGAAGAUGAAUCGUCCUGGUCAUGUAAAAUCCACUUGCUGCC